UGAGGAAUAUUGGACAAUGGAUGGAAAUCUGAUCCAGCCAUGCCGCGUGCAGGAAGACGGCCCUAUGGGUUGUAAACUGCUUUUGUAUGGGAGCAAUAAGGUCUAUGCGUAGACUGAUGAGAGUACCAUACGAAUAAGCAUCGGCUAACUACGUGCCAGCAGCCGCGGUAAUACGGGGGAUGCAAGCGUUAUCCGGAUUUCUUGGGUUUAAAGGGUGCGUAGGCGGUUUGAUAAGUCAGCGGUGAAAUAUUUCAGCUUAACUGAAAGGGUGCCGUGGAGACUGUCAGGCUUGAAUAUGGUUGAUGUGGGUGGAAUGUGUGGUGUAGCGGUGAAAUGCUUAGAUAUCACACAGAAUAUCGAUUGCGAAGGCAGCUCACAAAGCCAUUAUUGACGCUGAUGCACGAAAGUGUGGGGAUCAAACA
rnacentral:rRNA from 1 species